CCGGGCUUCGCAGGGCAGGAUAACGGAUAACGUCCGCCGAGGGCGACCUCCGGGAAAGUGCAACAGAAAUAAACCGCCCGCUUUCGCGGGCAAGGAUGGAAAGGCGAGGUAAGAGCUCACCGCCUUCGCGGUAACGCGGAGGGCAAUGUAAACCCUAUCCGAAGCAACGCCCCGAUUUAAGUUUGCCCGACGCAGGGAGUUUUCCCGUUUCGGGGCGGCAUGAAGUCCGCCGGUAACGGCGGAAUAAGAUAGAUGACUGUCUAUUACAAAACCCGGCUUACAGACGAAGU
rnacentral:RNase_P_RNA from 1 species